UAUCUCAUCAUGGGAUAAUGUAUGAAAUAAGGCCCGUCCGACCGCCCGAGACAGUCUAGAUUUCUGACGGACGGUCCAAAUUUACAGCUAGCAA